rnacentral:rRNA from 1 species
UACGUAGGGGGCAAGCGUUGUCCGGAAUUAUUGGGCGUAAAGCGCGCGCAGGCGGUCCUUUAAGUCUGAUGUGAAAGCCCACGGCUCAACCGUGGAGGGGCAUUUGAAACUGUCAGACUAGAGUGCAGCAGAGGAUAGUGGAAUUCCCGGUGUAGUGGUGAAAUGCGUAGAUAUCGGGAGGAACACCAGUGGCGAAGGCGACUAUCUGGGCUGCAACUGACGCUGAGGCGCGAAGGCUAGGGUAGCAAACAGG